AACGAACGUUAGCGGCGCGCCUAACACAUGCAGGUCGAACGCGACAGGGGCAACUCUGUUGAGUGGCGCACGGGUGAGUAACACGUAGGUAAUCUCCCCCCGAGUGGUGGAUAACCUUCCGAAAGGAGGGCUAAUACAGCAUAAGACCACGGCUUCGAAAGGAGCUGAGGUCAAAGCGGAGGGUCGCAAGACUUCGCGCUUGGGGAUGAGCCUGCGGCCCAUCAGGUAGUUGGCGGGGUGACAGCCCACCAAGCCUAAGACGGGUAGCUGGUCUGGGAGGGUGAUCAGCCACACUGGAACUGAGACACGGGCCAGACUCCUACGGGAGGCAGCAGUGGGGAAUCUUGCGCAAUGGACGAAAGUCUGUCGCAGCGACGCCGCGUGGGUGAUGAAGGCCUUCGGGUUGUAAAGCCCUGUGGGGAGGGACGAAUAAGUUUCAGCUAAUACCUGAAGCGAUGACGGUACCUCCUUAGCAAGCACCGGCUAACUCUGUGCCAGCAGCCGCCGUAA
rnacentral:rRNA from 1 species